GGUCCGGUGGCUAGGCCCCUAGAACAGUGGUUCUCAACUAGGGGUCUGAGGAGUCUUCGCAGGGGUACAACUCAUCUAGAUAUUGCCCUAGUUCUUCAACAGGCUCCAUCAAAAGCACCUGCGAAGUCAGUAGAAACUAAAAUUUCCUACAGACAAUGACUUGUUUAUACUGCUUUGUAUACUACACACUGAAAUGUAAGUACAAUAUUUAUAUUCCAAUCAAUUUAUUUUACAAUUAUAUGGUAAAAAGCAGACAGUAAGCAAUAUUUCAGUAACCGUGUGCUGAGACACUUUUGUAGUUUUAGGUCUGAUUUUGUAAGCAAAUAGUUUUAAGUGAGGUGAAACUUGGGGUACGCAUGAUAAACCAGACUUCGGAAAGGGGUACACUAUUCUGGAAAGAUUGAGAGCCACUGAUCUAGAAGAUCCACAUUGAAGUCUCUCCCUGUGGGACCCUGGGUCAGUUACUUUGCCUCCGUGCGUCAUUUCCCCAUCUGGACAAUGGGGGUAACCAUGCUGCUCUGCCUCACUGGGGGGUUGUGAGGCUCAACCCAGUCAAGGUCAGGACACACGCAUAUGCUGUGACAACAGAGGCGCCUUAAUCAGAUUGAUUUCAGUCUAUGGACCGUGCCACUUACACCAGCUCUGAACUCGGCAACGCUGGUUUUAAACCUUCUGUUGGGCUUAAUCCCUGCAUUUAUACAGUGAGGCUAAUAACAAUGGACUUUUGUAUUUGUGUCACAACAGCACCUCGAGGCUCCAUGGCACUUGGUGCUGUACAUAGUAAGAGACGAGCCCUUCCCUGGAGGACUUACAAUGUAAAUAGCCCAGACAGACAAAGUGGGGAGGGAGAAGACGGAGCGCUGUACCCAUUGUACAGACAGGAACCUGAACCACUGAGAGAUGAAGUGACUGUGUACGGGGAGACUUUGGCAAACCAGUGAAGUGCCUAAAACCACUAUGGCUUAUUGCUAAAAGCAGCCAAGUCAGCAGGCUGUAAAUUAGCCAGGUCAGCAGGCUUAGCUUAACCAAGGCAAGAGUUGCUGAUACAUGCAUCUUAGAAGAGCAGGAUGUUCUGGGGAGGGGUGGAAGCGGAACCCAGAUCUCUGGAGUCUCAGUCCACUGCCGUACGCAGAAGCCGACACUUCCUCAUCUCAGCCACUGGUAUCCGUCACUAGCCCCCAGAGACGCAGGCAGGGCUGGGAGGCAGAGGUGUGGUGGAGUGCCUGUGACAGACCUGGGGCUGCUCUGGGACCACCUGUGAAUGCUGCACGUGACCGGGUUAUCGGGAUGUUUGCUGGCUGGCUACAGGGCUGCUGGGAAACGGGAAGGCAAACCGGUGACGAGAAAGACAGCCCUCAAUGCGCACCGAGGGGGUUGUGACAAGGACCCGGACCCGCUGGCUGCUUCUGGUGCACAGUGCGCUACCAGGCCAGGCAGGCAGCCUGCCUUAGCCCUGCCCCGCUCACUGGGAGCCACCCAAGGUCCUACUCCAGCCUUCUGGGGGAACCAAGGGGCAACACUGAUCCUUGGCUGGGUGUUCGGCAGAGCAAACUGUACUGACAUACUGCACAACCGUCGAUGGCAAACGAAAGAGCUUCCUGAAAAACUGGGAUAAGAAGUCUCGAGGCACAGAAAGUCAUUCGCAAAAGUUGAAGGUCAGCGGCCCUCAUUACCAAGCACCCUCUGAUAAACUGUCAUGCAGCGAAGAAAGUUCUCUGGUUUGUCCAGCCAGGAGCGAGAAAUCCCAAUUACACCUAAUGAAGUGAAACUCGGCCAACGGCCAACAGCAAGGACAAAGGAAGCUUCGGUGGAUGGAAAUAGCCCCAGCGCUGUUUGUAAUAACCUCACAGCUCUUGGCAUAGGUCUGCAGCUACCGCACCAAGAUUUUCCCAGCUGCUUGAUCUCAA